UACGGAGGGGGCCAGCGUUGCUCGGAAUCACUGGGCGUAAAGGGCGCGUAGGCGGCCGCACGAGUCGGAGGUGAAAUCCCUCGGCUUAACCGAGGAACGGCCUCCGAUACUGUGCGGCUCGAGUCCCGGAGAGGGUGGUGGAAUUCCCGGUGUAGCGGUGAAAUGCGUAGAUACCGGGAGGAACACUGGUGGCGAAGGCGGCCACCUGGACGGGUACUGACGCUGAGGCGCGAAAGCUAGGGGAGCAAACAGG
rnacentral:rRNA from 1 species